UACGUAGGGGGCAAGCGUUGUCCGGAUUCAUUGGGCGUAAAGAGCGUGUAGGCGGCCAGGUAGGUCGGUUGUGAAAACUGGAGGCUCAACCUUCAGAGGUCGACCGAAACCAUCUGGCUAGAGUCCGGGAGAGGAGAGUGGAAUUCCUGGUGUAGCGGUGAAAUGCGCAGAUAUCAGGAAGAACACCCGUGGCGAAGGCGGCCUGCUGGGCAGUUGCUGACACUGAGGCGCGACAGCGUGGGGAGCAAACAGG
rnacentral:rRNA from 1 species